GGUGGAAGGCCCACCGAAGACGAUCACCAGAGAUAGUUUUCAAACUACCUCAAGCUGCUAUUGUAAAGAGCAAUGGUAGUGAGCAUUGAGGGAAAGUCAAACAAGAUUUGGCAAGU
rfam:Chlamydiae bacterium SM23_39 WORSMTZ_790, whole genome shotgun sequence.